rnacentral:rRNA from 1 species
CACUUCGAACAGAAGAGUGAAAUAGUCCCUGAACCCAUACGCCUACAAGCAGUCGGAGCCGCUUCGUGCGGUGACGGCGUGCCUUUUGCAUAAUGAGCCUACGAGUUACUCAUCACCAGCGAGGUUAAGUACUUCAGGUACGUAAGCCGAAGCGAAAGCGAGUCUGAAUAGGGCGUCAAGUUGGUGGUGGUAGACGCGAAACCUUAGUGAUCUACCCAUGGGCAGGGUGAAGGUUUGGUAACACAAACUGGAGGCCCGAACCGGUAAACGUUGAAAAGUUUUCGGAUGACCUGUGGGUAGGGGUGAAAGGCCAAUCAAACUGGGAAAUAGCUCGUACUCUCCGAAAUGCAUUUAGGUGCAGCCUCUGUUGUUUUGUUCUAGAGGUAGAGCUACUGAUUGGAUGCGAGGGCUUCACCGCCUAUCAAAUCCGGCCAAACUCCGAAUGCUAGAACAUGAAGACAGGGAGUGAGCCAGCGGGUGCUAAGGUCCGUUGACGAAAGAGGGAGAACUCAGACCAUCAGCUAAGGUCCCCAAUUAUAUGCUAAGUUGGAAUAAAAACGGGGUGGGACUGCUUAGACAGCUAGGAUGUUGGCUUGGAAGCAGCCAUUCAUUUAAAGAGUGCGUAACAGCUCACUAGUCGAGCGGUCCUGCAUGGAUAAUACGCGGGCAUAAGCAUAUAACCGAAGCUAUGGGAUUGUAGAUGAUACAAUCGGUAGGAGAGCAUUCCAUUCAGCAUAGAAGCAGUAUCGUGAGGUAUUGUGGAGCGGAUGGAAAAGCAAAUGUAGGCAUAAGUAACGAUAAUGCGGGUGAGAACCCCGCACGCCGAAAGAUCAAGGAUUCCCCGGCAAUGUCAAUCAUCCGGGGGUAAGUCGGAUCCUAAGGGUAAGCCGAGUGGCGAUCCCGAUGGCAAACAGGUUAAUAUUCCUGUACUGAUCAUAACUGCGAUGCAGCGACGCAGAGGUGACACUGCUGCGUACUGACGGAAUAGUACGUUGAAACCCGUAUUCUUUGAUACCGGUAGUGAAGCACGCCGGUAGAGAUGAAAGGUGAUAGUACCGCAAUGCUUCGGUUGCGCGGAUAAUGCAGGUAAGCUGACUGCCAAGAAAACCUGCUAAGCUUCAGGUAAUGAUCAUCCGUACUGUAAACGGACACACGUGAUCAGGUAGAAAAUACUAAGGCGCUCGAGAGAUUCAUGGUUAAGGAACUAGGCAAAAUGGUCCUGUAACUUCGGGAUAAAGGACGCUCUUGUGAAAGAGCCGCAGAUAAUAGGCCCAGGCGACUGUUUACCAAAAACACAUGGCUAUGCUAAUUCGCAAGAAGAUGUAUAUGGCCUGACACCUGCCCGGUGCCGGAAGGUUAAGAGGAGAGCUCAGAGGUAACUCGAAGGUUUGAAUUGAAGCCCCGGUAAACGGCGGCCGUAACUAUAACGGUCCUAAGGUAGCGAAAUUCCUUGUCGGGUAAGUUCCGACCUGCACGAAUGGUGUAACGAUCUGGGUACUGUCUCAACCAUGAGCUCGGUGAAAUUGUAGUUCCGGUGAAGAUGCCGGAUACCCGCAACGGGACGGAAAGACCCCGUGAACCUUUACUGCAGCUUUGCAUUGAUUUUGGGUAACAGAUGUGUAGGAUAGGUCGGAGGCUUUGAUGCUGCGUCGUCAGGCGUAGAGUAGCCGUCGUUGAAAUACGACCCUUUUGUUAUCUGAGUUCUAACCCGUUAGGGAGACAUUGCAUGGUGGGUAGUUUGACUGGGGUGGUCGCCUCCAAAAGAGUAACGGAGGCUUCUCAAGGUACCCUCAAGGCGUUUGGUAAUCGUCUGCAGAGUGCAAUGGCAUAAGGGUGCUUGACUGUGAGACCGACACGUCGAUCAGGUUGGAAACAAGAGCAUAGUGAUCCGGUGGUUCCGCAUGGAAG